rnacentral:lncRNA from 1 species
GUUUAUCAAGACAUAGGAUAGGUUGUGUGAAAAUAUUACUGAUGUUUAACGUUAAAAAUGGACCAAAAGAUUAAUGCUAAACAACGUUUGACAUGUUUGAACGAACCUAAAUAGAUUAUUUACUAGGUUUUUUAGCUUUUCGGCGUGAUUUUACAACCCCCCCCACCACGUUUUGUGGGAGCAUAAUGAACGCUAACUACUUGGUGUUAUUUGGACAUAAAUUAUGAACUUUGUCAAAAGAAACCACAUUUGUUCCGGACCUGGGAUUCCUGGCAGUGCCUUCUGAUGGAGAUAAUCAAAGUGUUUCUUGGAUUUGCUGCCUGCUAAUUGGAGGGAUAACUUGUUUUACACUUAAAGGUAAUUCUAAUGGGCAUCAUGCCUACACUGGACCUGAACCAACUGGAUCCUAUGCCAAAGCAAGUGUGGUGCCUAGUCCAAAUGCUAAAGCUACUGGCCACAAUGCCACGUCAGCAGAAGCUACUGGCCACAAUGCCACGUCAGCAGAAGCUACUGGCCACAAUGCCACGCCAGCAGAAUCUACUGGCCACAAUGCCCCGUCAAGUGUGAAGUCCGGCCCCAGCGCC